UACAGAGGUGGCAAGCGUUGUUCGGAAUUACUGGGCGUAAAGGGCGCGUAGGCGGCCUUCUAAGUCAGACGUGAAAUCCCCCGGCUUAACCUGGGAACUGCGUCUGAUACUGGGAGGCUUGAGUAUGGGAGAGGGAUGUAGAAUUCCAGGUGUAGCGGUGAAAUGCGUAGAGAUGUGGAGGAAUACCGAUGGCGAAGGCAGCCCCCUGGGACAUGGACUGACGCUCAUGCACGAAAGCGUGGGGAGCAAACAGG
rnacentral:rRNA from 1 species